GGCACAUGGCUUGAACCUACUCUUGAGGUUCUCCAGUGAUCUGCUGGUUAGAGGCACAGCUCAUCUACCUGCAUAUUCUGGAGCUGAAAUGUCCACCUAUGGAAGAGGUUCAAUGAAUUUCGGAUUUGUACAACAGAAGAAGAAACAAUGUGAUGAGAAGUCUACCUCUUCAAAAAUCAUUGAAUGUAUCUGAAAGGUCAUUGCAUCACUGGACAGAAAGUUCUGUAAGGGAGAGCACACAUGAUAUUGUCUAGGUCUGCCCUCAGCCAUCCCAG